rnacentral:misc_RNA from 1 species
UCCUGGAUAUCCAGGGUCGCACCCAGG